ACUUGUCAGUCCCAAGGGCACUCAUGAAGCAGUCGCUCAUUGACUCUGCACUGGGGCCGUCCUGCAUCACAGUGAGAAAUGGGAGACUUCCACAGAGAAAGUGAAGGUCCAAGGUCCAACGUUGUGUGUCCAGAAGAAGGCCAGACUGUGCCCCUGUGGAGUCCUCUGAUGAGGCGGAUGAGGAAUUUUCAUUCAUUGGGAAAUCCAAGGAACAGGAAGCAGAGCCUGAGGAACAGGAGGAGGGCUCAGCCAGCCAGCCAGGCUGUGGCAUUUUCAGGACCAGGUGAGUGACGAGAGGAAGAGAGAUUGGCCGGCAUUGGAAAACAGUGGAGCCUGGAGUGAUAGAAGCAGGCAGCUUCAGAAGAGAAGCAGGUGCCUAGCGCCCGGAAUGAGCGGAUGUCAGUGAAGAAGAAGAGGAAGAAACCGAGGAUGAGGAGAUGGGGUGGCAGUGCAGCACCCUGUGUCAGGGAGUACAGGAGAGGAGACAGGAGUGUGGGAGGCACAGGGGUGGCAGGGGAGGCGGUGAGGAGGGGCGCCCUGGGGAGCUCAGAGCAGAUCUGAGUAUGGAGAGUCCACAGACAGUGAGGAUGAGACGGAGCCUCGCCUGAUGCAGGCCCUCACUGGGAAGGAAGAAGGGCUGAGUGACAGUUCGAGAACCUGAGGCUGAAGCAUUGAACCAGAAGGAGCUGGAGCAGGAGGCAAAAGGCACCCUGAGGAGGCAUGGUGCCCCCUCCAGACUGUAGGAGACCAUGGAAGAGCCUGCGGAGAGCAGGCGGGGCCGCACUACUCUGGAUGCGCUCAACACCAAGAGGAGAGUCAGGAGGAGCAGGAGGCAUGGAAAGUUCAGAAGCUAAAACAAACAAGGGAGCAGAGACGAGGAAGAAGAGCUUGAGAAGGAGGAAGCAGAAAUUGAGCACCUGCGGAAGCUGGCUGAGGAAGAGCAGCAAGCUGAGCUUCAGGCAUAUGGCAAGGUCAUUACCAGCAAAGCCAUUCAGGGCAAAUAUGAGAAAUAUACAAAAGAGAUUUCAGUGCCCCCACCCUGGAGGAUCAUUUCAACAAAGCCAUGCUUCCUAAAGUCAUGCAAGAACUUUGGGCACUCUGGUUAUACCAAAUACACCCAUGGUGGGCAUUGAGAUACCACUUCCUUCUACCCAACACGGGGCCAAGAGAGUACCCAGAACACAAAGUUCUUCAAACAAAAGGUAGCUGAAGCACAAGAUGUAGCUGAGCAACCAUUUACCAAGAAGCAGAAGAC
rnacentral:lncRNA from 10 species